GGACUACCGGGGUAUCUAAUCCUGUUUGCUCCCCACGCUUUCGUGUAUGAGCGUCAGUGCUAACCCAGGGGGCUGCCUUCGCCAUCGGUGUUCCUCCAGAUAUCUACGCAUUUCACUGCUACACCUGGAAUUCCACCCCCCUCUGCCGCACUCUAGUCUCAUAGUUUCCAACGCAGUUCCCAGGUUAAGCCCGGGGAUUUCACAUCGGACUUGCGAGACCGCCUACUCACGCUUUACGCCCAGUAAUUCCGAUUAACGCUUGGACCCUACGUAUUACCGCGGCUGCUGGCAC
rnacentral:rRNA from 1 species